GUGAAGAACGUAGCGAAAUGCGAUAAGUAAUGUGAAUUGCAGAAUUCAGUGAAUCAUCGAAUCUUUGAACGCACAUUGCGCCCGCCAGCAUUCUGGCGGGCAUGCCUGUUCGAGCGUCAUUUCAACCCUCGACUUCCCUUUGGGGAAAUCGGCGUUGGGGACCGGCUGUAUACCGCCGGCCCCGAAAUGAAGUGGCGGCCCGUCCGCGGCGACCUCUGCGUAGUAAUCCAACUCGCACCGGAACCCCGACGUGGCCACGCCGUAAAACCCCCGACUUCUGAACGUUGACCUCGGAUCAGGUAGGAAUACCCGCUGAACUUAAGCAUAUCAAUAAGCGGAGGA
rnacentral:misc_RNA from 1 species